UACGUAGGGUGCAAGCGUUGUCCGGAAUUAUUGGGCGUAAAGAGCUCGUAGGCGGUUUGUCGCGUCGGCUGUGAAAACCUGGGGCUCAACCCCGGGCCUGCAGCCGAUACGGGCAAACUAGAAUUCGGUAGGGGAGACUAGGAAUUCCUGGUGUAGUGGUGGAAUGCGUAGAUAUCAAGAGGAAUACCAGUGGCGAAAGCGGCACCCUAGCAAUUUUUUCUGACGCUCAUGUGCGAAAGCGUGGGGAGCGAACGGG
rnacentral:rRNA from 1 species